GGACCAACUACAGUUACCUCUCUUAUCUACAUGGGGUUCUGAAGUUACUGCUAGGUGGAAUGCUGAUAAUGGAAGUUAACCAUGGAUGACAUUAUUACAUAAGAUUUUGGUUUAAGUUGUUUCUUUCAAUAUGCUGUACUUAGGCUGAAAGACCAACCAUUUUCUUUGGCUGAAAGCUUUACCCGCUUUCUUUUAAACAAAGUUUUGUCAAGCAAGAUGAAACAAGGCCUGAUCUUGAAAGUACUAAUGACUUUGUUACAUGAAAUUUAUUUUAUAUUUUCUCCGUUUGGAAGGAAAUGUCGAUUCAUUUUUCUUGCUACGACACUAUCUAAAUAGCGAGUUCAUUCCUUGAAGCAUUUGUUUUCCUUUAGCAUGAUUCCAUAUAUAGGUAGUGCCUUGUAUGUUGCUUCCAUUCUUUGUUUCUUUGACUUUUGUAUUACGAUUUAUUCUAUUUCAUUUUUGAGAACAUGGAAAUCCAUAUUCCUUCUGGCUUGCAUGCC
rnacentral:misc_RNA from 1 species